GACGGGGCCCGCACAAGCGGUGGAGCAUGUGGUUUAAUUCGAUGAUACGCGAGGAACCUUACCUGGGCUCAAAUGUAUGUUGACGUAUUCUGAAAGGGAUACUUCUUCGGACAAUAUACAAGGUGCUGCAUGGUUGUCGUCAGCUCGUGCCGUGAGGUGUCGGGUUAAGUCCCAUAACGAGCGCAACCCCUAUCAUUAGUUGCCAUCAGGUCAAGCUGGGGACUCUAAUGAAACUGCCUACGCAAGUAGUGAGGAAGGCGGGGAUGACGUCAAAUCAGCACGGCCCUUACGUCCAGGGCUACACACGUGCUACAAUGGCCGAUACAGAGGGCAGCUACCUGGUGACAGGAUGCAAAUCUCCAAAGUCGGUCUCAGUUCGGAUCGGAGUCUGCAACCCGACUCCGUGAAGUUGGAUUCGCUAGUAAUCGCGCAUCAGCCAUGGCGCGGUGAAUACGUUCCCGGGCCUU
rnacentral:rRNA from 1 species